UAAGGUGCAGAAUUUUGUAGACUGGUA
rnacentral:piRNA from 1 species